AGAGUUUGAUCCUGGCUCAGGAUGAACGCUGGCGGCGUGCCUAACACAUGCAAGUCGAACGAAGCUUGACGGAUGAUUUCUUCGGAAUGAAACCAGAUAUGACUUAGUGGCGGACGGGUGAGUAACACGUGAGCAACCUGCCUUUCAGAGGGGGAUAACGGCUGGAAACGGUCGCUAAUACCGCAUGAUGUGUUCGGAUGGCAUCAUCUGAACAUCAAAGAUUUAUCGCUGAAAGAUGGGCUCGCGUCUGAUUAGAUAGUUGGUGGGGUAACGGCCUACCAAGUCGACGAUCAGUAGCCGGACUGAGAGGUUGAACGGCCACAUUGGGACUGAGAUACGGCCCAGACUCCUACGGGAGGCAGCAGUGGGGAAUAUUGCACAAUGGGGGAAACCCUGAUGCAGCAACGCCGCGUGAAGGAUGACGGUUUUCGGAUUGUAAACUUCUUUUCUUAGUGACGAAGACAGUGACGGUAGCUAAGGAAUAAGCAUCGGCUAACUACGUGCCAGCAGCCGCGGUAAUACGUAGGAUGCAAGCGUUAUCCGGAUUUACUGGGUGUAAAGGGAGCGCAGGCGGGACUGCAAGUUGGAUGUGAAAUACCGUGGCUUAACCACGGAACUGCAUCCAAAACUGUAGUUCUUGAGUGAAGUAGAGGCAAGCGGAAUUCCGAGUGUAGCGGUGAAAUGCGUAGAUAUUCGGAGGAACACCAGUGGCGAAGGCGGCUUGCUGGGCUUUAACUGACGCUGAGGCUCGAAAGUGUGGGGAGCAAACAGGAUUAGAUACCCUGGUAGUCCACACUGUAAACGAUGAUAGCUAGGUGUGGGGGGUCUGACCCCUUCCGUGCCGGAGUUAACGCAAUAAGCUAUCCACCUGGGGAGUACGACCGCAAGGUUGAAACUCAAAGGAAUUGACGGGGGCCCGCACAAGCAGUGGAUUAUGUGGUUUAAUUCGAAGCAACGCGAAGAACCUUACCAGGUCUUGACAUCCGACUAACGAGAUAGAGAUAUGUCAGGUGCCCUUCGGGGAAAGUCGAGACAGGUGGUGCAUGGUUGUCGUCAGCUCGUGUCGUGAGAUGUUGGGUUAAGU
rnacentral:rRNA from 1 species